UGCUCACACCCCUGUGUAACCCCUGGCAGGAGCUGUGACCCGCUUCUAACCAAUAGAAUAUGGCACAGGUGAUGGGACGGCCCACCCCUGUCUAAGGAGACCCUCCUGGCAGGCUGGACAAGGAAUUUCUUGGAGGAGGUUCUCCAGCAAAGCAAGAACAAGAAAGACUGUGUGGAGGAAACAGAAGCAGCCAGCAUGGAUUGUUGAGGGGUGGUGAUGGUGGUGGGGUGGUUCUGGCAGGGAAGGUAUGGAUUGAGCCAAACAGUUUCUUUGAUAGAUGGGAAAUAAUAUUGGGAAACUGCUCACCA